ensembl:rRNA 5S_rRNA 5S ribosomal RNA
GCUUACGGCCACACCACCCUGAGCACGCCCGAUCUCGUCCGAUCUCGGAAGCUACGCAGGGUCGGCCCUGGUUAGUACUUGGAUGGGAGACCGCCUGGGAAUACCAGGUGCUGUAAGCU